GGCUGCGUUGUGUAUGCAGGUUGCAGGUUGCGUCAAUGAUAAUAUCUUUUCGAUCUUCUAAAAGAUCCUUUUCUGGGCUGUGUUACUUUGUAUUUCUCGGCUUUUGUUUUAGAAGAUUGCCUUUGAUUUCAGCACAUUUACUGUCCUAUUUUAUGACACUUUUUUGCUACUCGUCAAGCAAAAAGUUCCUUAUCAAAAAUGAGGUCUUGGUAUUACAAAUUUAGUUUAUUGCAAACCAAAAUGAUAAUAAGAAGUUGCAAGUAAGGGGUUUGCAUAUGAUUAUACUGACUGAUUAUUUAAUUGCUUAAUAAAUUAUUAAUGGGUAAUUGUUCAGUAAUUUCUAUUGUGUAAAUUAUUAUGAUUAAUUUGUAAUUGUUUAAAACAAUGCAAGUUGGCUUACACACGGGCUUUAUUGUAUUCACAACAAUUCUGGCUGGAUAGGGUAAAUUCACUGGCUCGAAAUUGUCCGUAUAGUGUCACUUAAAAAUCAACAAAUGGGAGCGGUGUUCCCUGGGUAGGCCGGCAGGCUGCCCUGGAAACGUCCUUGCUGGGAACCCGGACGGCUCCCUGCAGGUCGGCGGCGGCUCUCGGCGCGGCCGGGGCCCACGGCGUGCGGGUCUCUGGCGGCGGACGUUCGGACGCCUUCGUCCGAGCGCUCGCUGGCGGCGUGCCACGUCGGCGCCCGAUUCCUCGGACAGGAAGGAGCUGGGGACAAAAACAAUGGGUCACUCGGCUGUACUUCCGUCUCACGUAGUGGUUUGACCUUUUGGCCAAAAGAAGGCCUCAGGGAGAAACAAUUGUAAUUUCUCUUACCUGGCAAAACUGCUCCGUACGGCUUCGGACGGCUCGGCCACACCCCGGACAGUACGAUGGACACAGGCGUGCCGCUCGAGGGGCUCGGGACGCGGUCGGCCUUCCGGCUGUCCUCGGACGAGACAGCGUCGGGACAAGACAGCGGUCGGGGCCUUGGGACGGCUCGGACGAGUGCGAAGGGUUCGGACGGGUGUCCGAAACUGCACUGGAAGUCCAGGUGUCCUGCGAACAAAGAGCAAAGGGUUGAAUGCUCUCCGUCAGCUGGCUCGAGUGUCGGAGCUUUACCUCGGAUUUCUCUGAGGUCUGUCAGCCUUCUGCAUCGAGCCAGCGGACGGAGCGCCUUUUAUAGCGCGGGCAGCAGCCCUGGGAGGGUCGUGCAAAACCCACCCACCCAUUUGAUUUACAUUGAGAACUUUCUAGAUGCAUCUAGAAAGUUCUGUGAAUCUGCAGUUGAAUUCUAAAAUGCCUUUAUAAAUUCCCUUGAAGUGAAUUGGAAUCCCAUGAAUUGUACAAGCUAAUUCCAAUUGAAUUUAUAAUAAUUAUUUGUAAAUUUAAAGCUACUUUAAAUUUAAAAUAAAUGCAAGAUUUAUUUGUAAGAAUUCAACUUAAAACAAUUGCCAGAAAUUAAAAAAGAAUAAUUAAAAAGAAAGCCCUUAAAAAAUGAAUUUAAUUGUAAGCCGAAAAUUAAUUGAAAAAUAAUAAUAACAAAAAACAAUGAAGUUCUCCGAUGACACAGCCACAGUCAAAACAAACAAAUUAAGAGAGGAAUAAAAUAAUUAUUCCACACCAAAUCCCCCUCUUUUGACUGGCGGCUGUGGUCAGCUGUGACUGGAUGAUUUCCAGGACGAUUGCCAGGACGACGUACUGCACGUAGACUGUUCAGAUCCUGAGCUGGCGCUGCCCUCAAGGAAAAACGUCGUGGGCACCAUAAUCGAGCGUGAAUCCGGCCUUGUUGUUGUUGUUCGCAUGCGGCGAGGGCGAGGUCUUGGUUCUUUGUGCGCUGAUUUUUCCUUCUCCCUCUCCUGGCUUGAUGGCGAACUUGGUUGUGGCGCCACUUUCAUCUCUCUCCUGCUGAUUUUUCUUCCCCCCCUUGUGAAAAGUUCAUUGACUUUUUGGCCGCCACAGAUAACAGCUGGCCCACGCUGUUUAUUUGCCGCACACGUUGUGGGUUUUUGUGUGGGAGUUUUAAUGGCAAAUUCGGCCUUAUCUGUCGGUUGUCGGCGUUGUCGGCGGCGCCGUCGGCGAGUAAAUGCACGCUGGGCGAUGUGGUCGGCAGGUGGGAAAUUUUGCCUUCGCCAAUUUUGUUGGACGCUGUGCGACACGGCAAGAUCGCUUUAGAAGCCCUUUGUUGUCGUCGCUUGAACCGUCUUUUCCGUCGACGUUUCUCUCUACGAGUCGCAGAAGGGACGUGGUUGUUGCUGGCGGAUGGUCGGUGGGCAUGGACAAUAUCCGUCUUGUCUGAGUGUGUGGAGAAGUGAGGGCGAGAAUUGGAGUUGCAAGUAUGGUUGGUGAGAAGGUAUUCUGGAUGAACUGAAUUCUGCCUUCUCGUGGAAAUUUGACGGAAGUGGUGGAAGCACUGCCGCAGGUGGCCAAUGCUGGAAGUCAAAGAGACCGACUGGAGGAAGGAUUGCCGAAGAGUAAUGCAAAUUUGGAGCAGAAGCCGAUGGUCCUGGCCAGCUCUGGCUUGUUGGGGAGUGGUUCUGGGAAGCAUAAAAUUGAGGAAGGUUUACUGCUCUUCGUUGGGUUGGAGGACGGUAUUGCAGUUUCCUCAACGAGAAUGGCGAUUUUGCGUGCCUCAAGAAUUGAUUUUGGCUGCCGGAUGUACACCUGCCAAUAAAAGUCGACUCGUAGGCCACGGAUGAAAAUGCGCAGAAACUCCUCUUCUCUGACCUCGAAGUUUUGUUUUAAACUUAAUCCAACAAUUAAUUGCUCAUGGUGCCACAAUUUGUCUGCCAGCCCUCUCAAUCGUAGGGUGCUUACUGGCGGCUCAAAUUCGUCUUGAAAAACUUUCUGGAGUGAGGAGAAGUUGCUGAUGGUGGCCUCGUCAAGACGCUUAACAAACUCCCUUGCUCGUCCAGAAGUGCGGAAAAGUAACAACCACCACACAUCUUUUGGCUGCAGUUGUUGGUCUCUCUGUGAGUACAUCUGGUUUUGGCGCCUCGUCAUGAUUGAUGUGGGACACUGGGUGUUCAGGCAGCAGUUGGCCAACCUGUGAUGCGCCGUCCAAGGGGAGGAGGUGCUCCUGAGGGUGCAGGACAUCCACCUGAGUGUACUGCUGGUAUUGGCAAGAAAGAAGUGUUUGUUGUUGUUGAAGUGGGAGGGAAAGUUGUGCAAUUGGAUCGUUGUCGUCCGACUUGUACAGCUGUAGAGUCUUUCCAGGGUCACACCCUCCAGGGUCACACCCCGUUGUUGUCUGCUCAGCAGCCAGGGGUCCAAAAUGAAUUUGAUUUAAAAAUAAAGGAGACAGUUGUUCUUUGGCUGCCAUUGUGUUUUAACAAAAUAAAGUUGUAAAAAUUGUGUAAAUUGUAAUUUGUUUAUUGUGUUUGUCAGUAUAAUCCCCAGGAGUGCCAGGAUCGCCAAUUGGUAUUACAAAUUUAGUUUAUUGCAAACCAAAAUGAUAAUAAGAAGUUGCAAGUAAGGGGUUUGCAUAUGAUUAUACUGACUGAUUAUUUAAUUGCUUAAUAAAUUAUUAAUGGGUAAUUGUUCAGUAAUUUCUAUUGUGUAAAUUAUUAUGAUUAAUUUGUAAUUGUUUAAAACAAUGCAAGUUGGCUUACACACGGGCUUUAUUGUAUUCACAACAAUUCUGGCUGGAUAGGGUAAAUUCACUGGCUCGAAAUUGUCCGUAUAGUGUCACUUAAAAAUCAACAAAUGGGAGCGGUGUUCCCUGGGUAGGCCGGCAGGCUGCCCUGGAAACGUCCUUGCUGGGAACCCGGACGGCUCCCUGCAGGUCGGCGGCGGCUCUCGGCGCGGCCGGGGCCCACGGCGUGCGGGUCUCUGGCGGCGGACGUUCGGACGCCUUCGUCCGAGCGCUCGCUGGCGGCGUGCCACGUCGGCGCCCGAUUCCUCGGACAGGAAGGAGCUGGGGACAAAAACAAUGGGUCACUCGGCUGUACUUCCGUCUCACGUAGUGGUUUGACCUUUUGGCCAAAAGAAGGCCUCAGGGAGAAACAAUUGUAAUUUCUCUUACCUGGCAAAACUGCUCCGUACGGCUUCGGACGGCUCGGCCACACCCCGGACAGUACGAUGGACACAGGCGUGCCGCUCGAGGGGCUCGGGACGCGGUCGGCCUUCCGGCUGUCCUCGGACGAGACAGCGUCGGGACAAGACAGCGGUCGGGGCCUUGGGACGGCUCGGACGAGUGCGAAGGGUUCGGACGGGUGUCCGAAACUGCACUGGAAGUCCAGGUGUCCUGCGAACAAAGAGCAAAGGGUUGAAUGCUCUCCGUCAGCUGGCUCGAGUGUCGGAGCUUUACCUCGGAUUUCUCUGAGGUCUGUCAGCCUUCUGCAUCGAGCCAGCGGACGGAGCGCCUUUUAUAGCGCGGGCAGCAGCCCUGGGAGGGUCGUGCAAAACCCACCCACCCAUUUGAUUUACAUUGAGAACUUUCUAGAUGCAUCUAGAAAGUUCUGUGAAUCUGCAGUUGAAUUCUAAAAUGCCUUUAUAAAUUCCCUUGAAGUGAAUUGGAAUCCCAUGAAUUGUACAAGCUAAUUCCAAUUGAAUUUAUAAUAAUUAUUUGUAAAUUUAAAGCUACUUUAAAUUUAAAAUAAAUGCAAGAUUUAUUUGUAAGAAUUCAACUUAAAACAAUUGCCAGAAAUUAAAAAAGAAUAAUUAAAAAGAAAGCCCUUAAAAAAUGAAUUUAAUUGUAAGCCGAAAAUUAAUUGAAAAAUAAUAAUAACAAAAAACAAUGAAGUUCUCCGAUGACACAGCCACAGUCAAAACAAACAAAUUAAGAGAGGAAUAAAAUAAUUAUUCCACACCAGUCUGUAAUUUUACUGUCCCAUUUUAUUUUGCUCCAACAUUGAGGUUUGAAACCCUCUACGGCCAACCUGAGACACAUGACUGAAGUUUGCCAGCAGCAGUAGAAUUCGACCUGAAUUAGGUAAAAGGCAGUGCCAAAAUCAAAGUUGAAUCUUGUCGUACCGGGUUUGCACCAAAACAAUGAAAAUCUAUGACAUGAUUAUUCCCUGAUAAUGGAAAACAUGCUACACACCAAUACACAGAAGGGCUACUGCUCCUGUGAUGAGACCUUGUUGAUAAAAGUAAAUUUUUUGUAGUAUUUAAGUAAAUAAUUUUGUAUUCAAAAUAGCAUUUAUUAUUUUAGGUAUAUAUGCAUUUAUUUGAAAACUUCUGUGUAUUAAUAAUGGUUUAUUGUUUUAGAAGGUUAACGAAUAGUUUAAAUUUUUAACUCAUAAUAACGAAACAAGCCUAUUUACUAAUGUUGACCGCCUUUAACCAAAAUUGCUUAUUUCUAAUAUAAACUCAUAUUAACAACUUUGUGCUGCUCAAGCAUCCUUGUGACUGGGUACAUCCUGCACCUCAAACUCUUCACCCGGAAUGGAAGCUCAGACUCUGUGUUGGCGAAGCAUGAUCACAAAUUCGAGAAGUUUCUCGGCCAGCUGGUUCUUGUCUGUGACAAAAAAUGAGGAUUCAUGAUUCAUGCAUUAACAUGCAACGACACCAAUAAUAUUGUGAUUCGUCGAUUCAUAAAUGUAUGUUACAUUUAAAUGAUAUCGGGAAAGUUUCAGUUGACUUAGGGGUUGCGCACUAAAGUCUUUUUUGGCAAUCGGAGGAACGUAAUUUCUUUGCAGAAUACAAUUUUACUCACCCCAGGACAGGCGUACUCGCUGAAGAUUCACCUGCAGUGCGUUCUGAAGUUGCAGCUUGGGCAGGGCCACCAAGGCUUGCAAAGUAGGCGCCGGCUGAGUUCUAAGAACUUCCACACUUCGGUCUUCGAGGCCUGUAGUGACAAGGCGCUGCGAAACAAAAAUAGAGAAGAACAUUUAUACUGUGAAUUUUUUUAAAAA